CCCUUAGAUGUUCUGGGCCGCACGCGCGCUACACUGACGAAUGCAACGAGCUUAUAACCUUGGCCGAAAGGUCUGGGUAAUCUCCAAAUUUCGUCGUGAUGGGGAUAGAUUAUUGCAAUUAUUAAUCUUCAACGAGGAAUGCCUAGUAAGCGCAAGUCAUCAGCUUGCGUUGAUUACGUCCCUGCCCUUUGUACACACCGCCCGUCGCUCCUACCGAUUGAAUGGUCCGGUGAAGCGUUCGGACCGUGGCCUUUGGACGGUUCGCCGUCUGUUGGCUGCGGGAAGUUCGUUAAACCUUAUCAUUUUGAGGAAGGAGAAGUCGUAACA
rnacentral:rRNA from 1 species